CUCUCUCAAAAGUUUAUUGAGCUUUUCUUCUUUCCAGCCUGAGCUCGGAUCUCGGAUCUCGGAUCUCGGAAUCGCUUCAUACUUCACUUGUCUAAUCCACCGAUCGACGCUCUCAAAAUUAUUUCUCUAGUGAAGCCUGGGCAGCCUGUAACGACUACUGGGCUAGUUCAUAAUGAAGAAAGGCAUGGUGAUAUUUAAGUCUAAUCCUUUUCUACUUUUAGUUGAUUAAACUCAUCACUGGUUGUGCGGUUCAUCAGAUAUGUUGAAUUUAUGCCAGCAUCAGUCAUUUAGCUUACUGAGCACUGGAUGGGAUAAUCAUGCCCAUAUAAAUAAUAACAGGGCUGACAUGGAAGUCCUUAUCCACAUCAUGAAGAAUAAUUUCAGCCUUUUUUAGAUGCCUGUGUAUAUGUGGGUUGUCUGUCACCAGUAGCCUUUUUCUGGAUUUCUUUAGGGAUCUUUGAACAAAUAUAGUAUGCUAGGGCUAUCUUGAUCAAUUUUUAUAAUGUUUUUUGUGGCAUCGUUGCUGUUGUAACCACCAAUUAUCACAUUAUUCAUUCAUAAAAUUAGUUGACAUGAUUAUAGAUA